rnacentral:rRNA from 1 species
UGAGGAAUAUUGGUCAAUGGACGAGAGUCUGAACCAGCCAAGUAGCGUGAAGGAUGACUGCCCUAUGGGUUGUAAACUUCUUUUAUAUGGGAAUAAAGUAUUCCACGUGUGGGAUUUUGUAUGUACCAUAUGAAUAAGGAUCGGCUAACUCCGUGCCAGCAGCCGCGGUAAUACGGAGGAUCCGAGCGUUAUCCGGAUUUAUUGGGUUUAAAGGGAGCGUAGGUGGAUUGUUAAGUCAGUUGUGAAAGUUUGCGGCUCAACCGUAAAAUUGCAGUUGAAACUGGCAGUCUUGAGUACAGUAGAGGUGGGCGGAAUUCGUGGUGUAGCGGUGAAAUGCUUAGAUAUCACGAAGAACUCCGAUUGCGAAGGCAGCGUACUGGCGCCUGACUGACGCUGAGGCACGAAAGCGUGGGGAUCGAACAGGAUUAGAUACC